rnacentral:rRNA from 1 species
AGAGUUUGAUCCUGGCUCAGGAUGAACGCUAGCGGCAGGCCUAACACAUGCAAGUCGAGGGAGAGGUUACCUUCGGGUAACCAAAACCGGCGCACGGGUGCGUAACGCGUAUACAAUCUGCCUUUCACAUAGGGAUAGCCCGAAGAAAUUUGGAUUAAUACCUAAUGGUAUAUAGGAGCGGCAUCGUUUUUAUAUUAAAGCUACGGUGGUGAAAGAUGAGUAUGCGUUCUAUUAGCUAGUUGGAGAGGUAACGGCUCCCCAAGGCGACGAUAGAUAGGGGUUCUGAGAGGGAUGUCCCCCACACUGGUACUGAGAUACGGACCAGACUCCUACGGGAGGCAGCAGUGAGGAAUAUUGGACAAUGGUCGGAAGACUGAUCCAGCCAUGCCGCGUGCAGGAUGAAGGUCCUAUGGAUUGUAAACUGCUUUUGUAAGGGAAGAAUAAGGAGUACGUGUACUUUGAUGACGGUACCUUACGAAUAAGCAUCGGCUAACUCCGUGCCAGCAGCCGCGGUAAUACGGAGGAUGCGAGCGUUAUCCGGAAUCAUUGGGUUUAAAGGGUCCGUAGGCGGGCUGAUAAGUCAGAGGUGAAAGCGCUUAGCUCAACUAAGCAACUGCCUUUGAAACUGUCAGUCUUGAAUGAUUGUGAAGUAGUUGGAAUGUGUAGUGUAGCGGUGAAAUGCUUAGAUAUUACACAGAACACCGAUAGCGAAGGCAUAUUACUAACAAUUAAUUGACGCUGAUGGACGAAAGCGUGGGGAGCGAACAGGAUUAGAUACCCUGGUAGUCCACGCU